AAAGUGACAGAUAUCACAAGAAAAAAGGACUGAUGAAAACUAGCAACCUAUGAUGCCAUCUAUAGAAAGUCUUUUUUCCCUAAACAAUGAAGCUUGAGAAAUAAAACAAAAAUUAUCAACCUUGCAAAAUUCUCAAGCGUGAUAUAAGCUUUAUUAGAAAAGCAAAGACCAAGUUAUUCGCAAAUGUCACAAAGUUUGUCACAUCUCAAUUUUGAAAAA
rnacentral:misc_RNA from 1 species